GGCGGUUUCCAUGGCCCGAAGCCUGAUGGAGCACACAGCGUGUAGGAUGAAGGCCUUCGGGUUGUAAACUACUGUUAUAUGGGAAGAAAAACUAGUAUAGGAAAUGAUAUUAGCUUGACGGUACCAUGUCAGAAAGCAACGGCUAACUAUGUGCCAGCAGCCGCGGUAAUACAUAGGUUGCAAGCGUUAUCCGGAAUUAUUGGGCGUAAAGCGUCUGUAGGUUGUUUGUUAAGUCUGGUGUUAAAACUUGGAGCUCAACUCCAAAUUGCAUUGGAUACUGGCAGACUAGAAUUGUUUAGAGGUUAGCGGAAUUCCUUGUGAAGCGGUGGAAUGCGUAGAUAUAAGGAAGAACACCAACAUGGCGAAGGCAGCUAACUGGGAACAUAUUGACACUGAGAGACGAAAGCGUGGGGAGCAAACAGGAUUAGAUACCCUGGUAGUCCACGCUGUAAACGAUGAUGACUAGUUGAUGGAAACCAUCGACGCAGCUAACGCAUUAAGUCAUCCGCCUGAGUAGUAUGCUCGCAAGAGUGAAACUUAAAGGAAUUGACGGGGAUCCGCACAAGCGGUGGAGCAUGUGGUUUAAUUUGAAGAUACGCGUAGAACCUUACCCACUCUUGACAUCUUCUGCAAAGCUAUAGAGAUAUAGUGGAGGUUAACAGAGUGACAGAUGGUGCAAA
rnacentral:rRNA from 1 species